UGGGCAUCAAGCAGCACGUGAGCCUGACUGCCAACGGCCACCCCUCACAGCACCGCCACCACAACAACAAACAGCGAUCACGUGACGUCAGCAGCGAGAUGCUGGCCCUUGACCCCAAUCCCUUCUCUCGGUUCCUAACUUGUCGACAAAUUUCGUAGGAUCUGUGUGAAGGUCGAGUGAGCCAGGCAAGGAAGUAUGUCAGAAACGAGGUUUUGCUCGUAAUGUGUUUAUAGUAAGGUAUUUAUCAUCAGAACUUCACUUUCGCUAGCGGUCAGUCUGACUUGACUCGUCUGGGGGUUCGUUGGUCAUCGCCGAAUCAUCCUCUCCGAUUUCAUAUAGCAGUAGCAGUAGAAGACUAGAGCUUGAGCUAGAAGAGGGAAAGGAUUUAAACGGAUUUAUCUCUAACCAAAGUUUCUUGCUUAUUGCCAGGAGAAUGCUGAGGGGUUGGUUCGAUGCGUUCCGAAGCGACGGAGGCCCCACUCUCUACACAUUCGCCAACAGGACCCCCGUCACAGAAGAUGUCCGGAACGUUCUCAUCUACGUGUCGUUCUCCACCAUCUUCGUCGCCUUUCUCAUUGUUUUCCCAGGAAUUCGGAAAGAGAAAUUUUCAACAUUCAUCAGUGUCACGAUUAGUUUAUUUGUAGGAGCUGUCAUUCUCAGUAAGUA